UACGUAGGGUGCGAGCGUUGUCCGGAAUUAUUGGGCGUAAAGGGCUCGUAGGCGGUUUGUCGCGUCGGGAGUGAAAACUCAGGGCUCAACCCUGAGCGUGCUUCCGAUACGGGCAUCACUGGAGUUCGGCAGGGGAGACUGGAAUUCCUGGUGUAGCGGUGAAAUGCGCAGAUAUCAGGAGGAACACCGGUGGCGAAGGCGGGUCUCUGGGCCGAUACUGACGCUGAGGAGCGAAAGCGUGGGGGAGCGAACAGG
rnacentral:rRNA from 1 species